rnacentral:rRNA from 1 species
GUGCCAGCAGCCGCGGUAAUACGUAGGGGCCGAGCGUUGUCCGGAGUUAUUGGGCGUAAAGCGCGCGCAGGCGGCCUCGCGCGCCCGACGUGAAAGCCCCCGGCUUAACCGGGGAGAGUCGUUGGGGACGGCGGGGCUUGAGGGCGGGAGAGGGUGGUGGAAUUCCCGGUGUAGUGGUGAAAUGCGUAGAGAUCGGGAGGAACACCCGUGGCGAAGGCGGCCACCUGGGCCGACCCUGACGCUGAGGCGCGAAGGCGUGGGGAGCGAACGGGAUUAGAUACCCGGGUAGUCC